rnacentral:misc_RNA from 1 species
GUGUCACUGGAGGGAAGGGGUUAGUAUCCAAUGAAACAAUUUCAUCUUCUGAUGCUAUUGCCAAAAGCAAAAAUGCCUUGAUGGGUUGGGAUUUGAAAAAUGCUUGUAGUUUUGGCAAUAACAUGGUCGUAUCAAGUCAACAAGCUAUUGAAAAUCAUGGUUUUGGGGAAUUAAUUUAUCACGAACUGAUGGGAAAACAAUUACCUGAUAAUUCAAUUAGGGAUGUUUUGAGUAGCGAGGCUG